UUGAAAGACCAGUUCUCAUAUGAUCACCAAAGUUAAGCAAUGUUGAGCCUGGUCAGUACCUAGAUGAGUGACCACUUGGGAAUACCAAUAUGUUGUA